rnacentral:rRNA from 1 species
CCCUUAGAUGUCCUGGGCCGCACGCGCGUUACACUGAUGCAUUCAACGAGCUUAUAACCUUGGCCGAGAGGCCUGGGCAAUCUUGUUAACGUGCAUCGUGAUAGGGAUAGAUUAUUGAAAUUAUUAAUCUUGAACGAGGAAUUCCUAGUAAACGCAGAUCAUCAAUCUGCAUUGAUUACGUCCCUGCCCUUUGUACACACCGCCCGUCGCACCUACCGAUUGAAUGGUCCGGUGAAAUCUCGGGACGGCGGCUUGGUCGCUUGCGUCCGACUGCUGAAACUUGAUUAAACCAUAUCAUUUAGAGAAAGGUGAAGUCGUANCA